rnacentral:tRNA from 1 species
GCGGAUGUAGACAAGUGGAUCAAGUAAGUGGAUUGUGAAUACACCACACACUGGUUCAAUCCCCGUCAUUUGCC